CGUGCUUAACACAUGCAAGUCGUACGGGAAGCUAGACUUCGGUCUGGUGGAGAGUGGCGCACGGGUGAGUAACGCGUGGGAACCUGCCUAACGGUUCGGGAUAACUACGGGAAACUGUGGCUAAUACCGAAUAUCCCCGAGGGGGGAAGCUCCGGCGCCGUUAGAUGGGCCCGCGUCCGAUUAGCUAGUUGGUGAGGUAACGGCUCACCAAGGCUCCGAUCGGUAGCUGGUCUGAGAGGAUGAUCAGCCACACUGGGACUGAGACACGGCCCAGACUCC
rnacentral:rRNA from 1 species